GAUGAAGAACGUAGUGAAAUGCGAUAAGUAGUGUGAAUUGCAGAAUUCAGUGAAUCAUCGAAUCUUUGAACGCACAUUGCGCCACAUGGUAGUCCGUGGGGCAUGCCUGUUCGAGCGUCAUUUACCCCCUCAAGCUCCGCUUGGUGUUGGGCGUCUGUCCCGCUUCGCGCGCGGACUCGCCCCAAAGGUAUUGGCAGCGGUCGUGCCAGCUUCUCGCGCAGCACAUUGCGCUUCUCGAGGCACCGGUGGGCCCGCGUCCAUCAAGCUCACCCCCCCAGUUUGACCUCGGAUCAGGUAGGGAUACCCGCUGAACUUAAGCAUAUCAAUAAGCGGAGGA
rnacentral:misc_RNA from 1 species